rnacentral:rRNA from 1 species
GAGCACGUAGGUGGGUUUGUAAGUCAGAUGUGAAAGCCUUCUGUUCAACGGAAGAAUUGCAUCUGAAACUGCGAGUCUUGUGUGUAGGAGGGGAGAAUGGAACUUCUGGUGGAGCGGUGAAAUGCGUAGAUAUCGGAAGGAACGCCGGCGGCGAAAGCGAUUCUCUGGCCUAUUACUGACACUCAGUGUGCGAAAGCUAGGGGAGCAAACGGGAUUAGAUACCCCGGUAGUCCUAGCCGUAAACGAUGGGCACUAAGUAGAGGGGUUUU